GGUAGAUGUGGUAAGCAACUGAAGAAAAAGAAGGGGGAGACACAAAGACAGAGAGGACGCGGUGUUGUAAUGUUGUCAGCUGUCAUUAUUUUAAUCUGGUGAGUCUGAAGGGUUUAAUCAACCACCCAUAUGGAAAGGCUAGCUAUGGGUGUGUUUGCUGUAAAGCAAGCAUGCAAAUCUGCAAAGGAGCAUGCUUUGAAAAAUGGACCCAUUAUGCCUGGAAAUGGAGUGGGAAACAAAAGCAAAAGCAGAAAGAAAAGCAGAAAGUAAAAGCAGAAAGCAAAAGCAGAAAGCAAAAGAAGAUAAAUAGAAGCAGACAUAAUUGCGGUGGUGAUAGCAUGCAGAAAAAAGAAUUAUGGGCGUGACCCAUUGAACUGAGGGUCGGAUUUAUUUUUGAAUGAUGUGAUUUAUUUUUCUUAUCUUUCGGAGACAUCUGUAUAAACCCCAUCAGAGGGUAAUAAAAAAAAAAUACGGCAAGCCCAAAAUAAUAGGCUGGAAUGUUAUGUAGAGGGCCAAUGCCCAUAUGCCCAAAAAAGCCAGACCCUCUAUUAUCACCAACCAGGUGAUUAAAAGUAUGCCCAGUACUCCAAAAUUAUUCGGCACCCUGCUGCUAUUAUCACAAACCAGGUGAUCAAAAGUACGUCCAGUACUCCAAAAUUAUUCGGCAGCCUGUCGCUAUUAUCACCAACCAGGUGAUCAAAAGUACGUUUAGUACUCCAAAAUUAUUCGGCAACCUGCCGCUAUUAUCACCCACUAGGUGAUCAAAAGUAUGUCCAGUACUCCAAAAUUAUACAUAAGCAUCACACAUGUCAAUCAUACAUAAACCUUCAUAAGCAUCACUCAUGUCAACAUUCAUGAGCAUCACUCAUGUCAACAUCCAUGAGCAUCACUCAUGUCAAUCAACAUAAACAUUCAUGAGCAUCACUCAUGUCAAUCAGCUUCGAAAGCUUCAUUUACAGAGCUCCAGCUCCGAGAGCCUCAGCUUCAAAAACUUCAUUUACAAAAGCUCCAGCUUCAAAGCUUCACUUGCAAAGUUGCACCUACAAA
rnacentral:lncRNA from 1 species